GUCAUCACUUCAUUUUUUUGCACCUGCGCAUAAAUCUGAGAAACGUGAGUUUGUCAUCAUUGUUUAUCUAGACAUAGGAUAGGUUGUGUGAAAAUAUUACUGAUGUUUAACGUUAAAAAUGGACCAAAGGAUUAAUGCUAAACAACGUUUGACAUGUUUGAAUGAACGUAAAUAGAUUAUUUACUAGGUUUUUUUAGCUUUUCGGCGUGAUUUUACACCCCCCCCCACCACGUUUUGUGGGAGCAUAAUGAACGCUAACUACUUGGUGUUAUUUGGACAUAAAUUAUGAACUUUGUCAAAAGAAACCACAUUUGUUCCGGACCUGGGAUUCCUGGCAGUGCCUUCUGAUGGAGAUAAUCAAAGUGUUUUUCCUUCAAUAAAGAAGAAGAUGAUAAAUAUACCCGCUGCAUUUUGGUCCACUCCUUACGACGUCUGUUACAAAUAGUACACAUUUUCCGGCAAACAACAGUAGGAUCCAAAGGUUACCUCCCACAGGAGGGAGAGGCAGAAUAUUAUCAGAUGCGCAG
rnacentral:lncRNA from 1 species